rnacentral:rRNA from 1 species
GAUGAACGCUAGCGGCAGGCUUAACACAUGCAAGUCGAGGGGUAUGCCGAUUUAUCGGCAGAGACCGGCGCACGGGUGCGUAACGCGUAUGCAAUCUACCUUUCACAGAGGGAUAGCCCAGAGAAAUUUGGAUUAAUACCUCAUAGUAUAGCAGUUUCGCAUGAAACCACUAUCAAAGUUCCAACGGUGAAAGAUGAGCAUGCGUCCCAUUAGCUAGAUGGUAAGGUAACGGCUUACCAUGGCUACGAUGGGUAGGGGUCCUGAGAGGGAGAUCCCCCACACUGGUACUGAGACACGGACCAGACUCCUACGGGAGGCAGCAGUGAGGAAUAUUGGUCAAUGGGCGCAAGCCUGAACCAGCCAUCGCCGCGUGCAGGAAGACGGUCCUAUGGAUUGUAAACUGCUUUUAUACAGGAAGAAACCCUCCCAACGUGUGGGGANCUUGACGGUACUGUAGGAAUAAGGAUCGGCUAACUCCGUGCCAGC